CAAUAGCGUAUAUUAAAGCUGUUGCGGUUAAAAAGCUCGUAGUUGGAUUUCUGUCAAAGACAACUGGUCCGCCCUCCGGGUGAGCACAUAGUUUGGUCUUGGCAUCUUGCUGGAAACUGUUGCUGCACUUGGUUGUGUGGCGCAGCAUCCAGCACUUUCACUUUGAGGAAAUUGGAGUGUUUCAAGCAGGCACAUGCCUUUGGACACAGUAGCAUGGAAUAAUUAGAUUGGGCUUUUGCUCCAAUUUGUCGGUUUCUGGAGCUGAGGUGAGAAUUAAUGGGGAUUGUUGGGGGCAUCCGAAUUUAGCCGUCAGAGGUGAAAUUCUUGGAUCUGCUAAAGACGGACAACUGCGAAAGCGUUUGCCCAGGAUGUUUNCAUUG
rnacentral:rRNA from 1 species